AUUGAACGCUGGCGGCAGGCUUAACACAUGCAAGUCGAGCGGAGUGAUGGUGCUUGCACUAUCACUUAUCGGCGGACGGGUGAGUAAUGCUUAGGAAUCUGCCUAUUAGUGGGGGACAACAUCUCGAAAGGGAUGCUAAUACCGCAUACGUCCUACGAGAGAAAGAAGGGGAUCACUUGUGACCUUGCGCUAAUAGAUGAGCCUAAGUCGGAUUAGCUAGUUGGUGGGGUAAAGGCCUACCAAGGCGACGAUCUGUAGCGGGUCUGAGAGGAUGAUCCGCCACACUGGGACUGAGACACGGCCCAGACUCCUACGGGAGGCAGCAGUGGGAAAUAUUGGACAAUGGGGGGAACCCUGAUCCAGCCAUGCCGCGUGUGUGAAGAAGGCCUUAUGGUUGUAAAGCACUUUAAGCGAGGAGGAGGCUCUUUUGGUUAAUACCCAAGAUGAGUGGACGUUACUCGCAGAAUAAGCACCGGCUAACUCUGUGCCAGCCGCCGCCGUAA
rnacentral:rRNA from 1 species